AGAACAGGCAGAGGCAGUUCAGGGGUAUUCUGGUUGCCUUACCCAGCUCUGAAGUCUGUCAGCCUCUUCAGAUGUCACUUGCCAUGUGGUAAGGAAGUGUAGUCAGCAGCUGGUGCAGUGGGAAGAAGAGAAAGGAAGUUCCCCAAGACAAAAACAUCUCGGCAGACUUCAUCAUGAAUUCAUGGCAUCACACAGUCCCCUGAUGCUAUAACAUCAUGGAUUUCUUUUGUCCAGUGAGAGGCCCAAAAGCUGCAGCAUAGACAAUAUCAUAGUGUAGAAGGUUCACUAGACCGUGAUCAUGGGCUACAUUCUCCGUACCAGCUUCAUAGCUCCAGUGAGAAAAUAAAUUCCUGCAUCCAGGAGAUGUGGAGUAAGAGAUACAGCUGCCCUUGACCAUAUUUCUUACUUCCGAGAAGAUCGUAGCAGUAAUUCAGAAUCUCAUCCAGGAUACCUCAUCACAGGCUGGAGUGCAGUGUCAUGAGCUUGGCUCACUACAGCCUCCAUCUUCUGUGCUUAAGGAUCCUUCCCUCUCAACCUCCAAGGUAGCUGAGACUACAGGCAACAUUCGAAACCCAGGUGCCACUCCUUCAGGAAGGUACCAUCAAGCUCCAAGGACUCAUCCUCUUUCUCCUUCCCCACUACCUAGUCAUUAGAGCGUCAGCAUCCACUUCCUGAAAGGAAGAUGCCUGUUUUUCACAUAUCCCAGAAAGCCUCAUUUUAGGACAGCAUUUAGCAGAGUGUAUUCAGGAUCCCACUAACCUUUUCGGAAGACAUGACUUCCAGAUGAUAUAAGGCAAGAAUAAGAAAUUUCAGUGACAGGGAACAGAAAUCAUAUUUCUGCAUUCAGGAUCAUGUUUUCUUGGCUCCAUCAGGAACUGUGCAGGACUGUGCACUCUGUUGAUACUCACAUGGUGGAAUUAUAUUGCCCUUGGCCAACCCUAAAGCCAUCAAGAUAGCAGCAACUACUCUAUCAUUACUGUACCACCACCUGUAUGGAUCUCGUUGCCCAUAUGAAACUGAGUAAGGAACAAUGUGCAUCACACUCACAGAGAAAGAUGGACAAGUUUGGAAUAAUUCACUGUCGAAGUCUUCUUGAGCUGAGCAGUCAUGUGAGCUUGGAAGAUGAUCCCUCUCCAGCUGAUCCUUCAGCUCAGGCCAUCAUCUACAUCUGGAUUCCUGACCCGGAGAAACUAUGAGUAAUGUGUGCUGCUUUUGAGCCACUAAGCUACAUGAAUUAAUGAAGGAUCAUUAUUAAGUUUUUAAUGGGUCAAGAGAAAGUUACCACUGAGGUCUUCUCUACCUGGGCAACAAUUGACUCCUAACAACCACUAUAAGCUUGGAAGAUGAUCCCUCCCCAGCUGAUCCUUCAGGUCAGAUUUUUCACAGAGCCAUAGAUAUCUUAUCAUCCUCUGUGGCUUGAAGACUAAUGGCAAUAAAACAUUUCUCAAUAAAGGAGGCUAUACCAUUGUCUGUGUGAUUUCCACUUUCCCUGUUGACACUUAUUCUGCCAGUUUUGAUGUAGGUCAUCUUGCCAGAAGAUGAAAGCAGAUUUCAGGUGAAGUUCAUACAUGUGUAGACAUUAAAAACUGUCAAGGCUACUACCAGGCUAACAGCAAUUGUAAAACUUGAAAACAAAACAUGAUUAAAA
rnacentral:lncRNA from 1 species